UGGGUGAGGGACAUGGGCAGUGCUGGUGCUGUGAUUUUAAUGCAACAAUCAGAUAUUUAAAACCCAGCCUGUGUUUAAUUGCUGCUCUGAGUGGCAGCAGCAGGAUCUGGUGCUCACACACCUCACUGCCCCAGUGCUGGGAGGGAAACGUGGCACCAGCCUCACAGCAAGAUGGCAUUUGCCCCAAUCCUGAAAUCAGGUGAUCCCAGUUCUUCUUUUUUAUUUUAAAAGUAGGCUAUAGAUCAAACUCUUCAGUGGCUGCAGAAGUUUCUGUUUUUCUGAUUCCCACAGGUAGGAAAGCCUCUCUUUUCACUCGUAUUCUCUCGGAGCCAUCUGCUCAGAACACUUUCAAAAUGAGGGCAAUUAGAGAUAAGAGCUAAUAACACUCCAACCUGCACGCUGGGAAAUGCCAUUUAAUCACCAUUGCCUCGCUGGCAAAUAAGGAGCAGCCCCUGACUGGACCAGGGUGAUAAAGCUCCCGUGCAGGCUGAAAUGAAGAGCCCAGCUGCAGUGUUUGCCACCGUGAAUU